CAAGACUUGUUAUAGUUAUAUGUCAUGAAGGUACCCCCAUUACUACCCUCUUACAUACCAACCAUACAGUUCUUGUCUGAGACUAAUUUUGGAAUCUGGGUUGUGUUUGCCCUAAUUCACAUUCACAUAAUGAACAGUAUAUUAUUCAAUAGCUAAGAUAUUAAGUAGGUUCUGGAACUGGCAAGCAUUGAAAAAACUUUUGUAGCAAACAUGUACAGGAAGCAAAAAAUUCAGAUAUUUUUUUUUAUAAGGAACUGUCUAUCUUAGUCAUCAAAACAACCUCUGCACCUAGUAGGGGUACAAAAUGUACCUUCAUGGCGAAUAUAAACAGUAAAAAUUCUUGCCUAAGGCCCCAAAAAAAUAUGUCUGUUUACAGUUACCCGACCAACCCUAAUUUGAGCGCCAACCCUUAUCCAUUUUAUUUCCGUCGUAAAGUGAAAAAUUAAUAGAACUUGUGUCAAAAGCGAAGUAAGGGUAGCCAAUAAAUUUAAUCAAUUGCCUGAUACAUCCCAAUGUUCACAAUUGUGAAUAUGACAGCUGUCAUAAGGAAACUUGCAACUCGUGUAAUGAAAUAAAAACUUUGCUGCCAUUUUUUUUCCAACCAUUAACCAAGGGAAAUAAUCCAAUCAUUAAAAAUACGGGUAAACUUGGCCCAUGGACAACUCAGACCACAGCAAGACGGACUGCACAACUCAAAUUCAUGGAGUAAAAAAUAAAAUGAAAAAAAAUAAUAAAAUGGAAAUACGACCAACCAUGCCUACCUACCCUAUUUAUUUUGAUGAUGUAACCUUAAACAGAC
rnacentral:lncRNA from 1 species